CCUACGGGUGGCAGCAGUGGGGAAUAUUGGACAAUGGGCGAAAGCCUGAUCCAGCCAUGCCGCGUGUGUGAAGAGGCCUUCGGGUUGUAAAGCACUUUCAGUGGGGAAGAAAGCCUUGGGGCUAAUACCCUCGAGGAAGGACAUCACUCACAGAAGAAGCACCGGCUAACUCCGUGCCAGCAGCCGCGGUAAUACGGAGGGUGCGAGCGUUAAUCGGAAUUACUGGGCGUAAAGCGCGCGUAGGCGGUCUGAUAAGCCGGUUGUGAAAGCCCCGGGCUCAACCUGGGAACGGCAUCCGGAACUGUCAGGCUAGAGUGCAGGAGAGGAAGGUAGAAUUCCCGGUGUAGCGGUGAAAUGCGUAGAGAUCGGGAGGAAUACCAGUGGCGAAGGCGGCCUUCUGGACUGACACUGACGCUGAGGUGCGAAAGCGUGGGUAGCAAACAGGAUUAGAUACCCGAGUAGUC
rnacentral:rRNA from 1 species